rnacentral:rRNA from 1 species
CAGCAGCCGCGGUAAUACGAAGGGUGCAAGCGUUAAUCGGAAUUACUGGGCGUAAAGCGUGCGUAGGCGGUUUGUUAAGUCUGUUGUGAAAUCCCCGGGCUCAACCUGGGAAUGGCAAUGGAUACUGGCAAGCUAGGGUGUGUCAGAGGAUGGUGGAAUUCCCGGUGUAGCGGUGAAAUGCGUAGAGAUCGGGAGGAACAUCAGUGGCGAAGGCGGCCAUCUGGGACAACACUGACGCUGAGGCACGAAAGCGUGGGGAGCAAACAGGAUUAGAUACCCCAGUAGUCCCUGUCUCUUAUAC